UUGUAUAAUCUACAAACUUUUGAUCUUAGACUGUGCUCAAAACUUGAGAUACUACCCCAAGCAAUGGGAAAGUUGAUCAACUUGAAGCAUCUCUAUGUUUUGGGUUGUAAUGAGCUGAGGUACAUACCGAAAAGGAUUGAGAGUUUGAAAAGUCUGCAAGCACUAGACUGGUUUGAUACAUAUGGAAGGGAGGAUGGUGAAGCACUGAAAUUAGGAGAUCUGGGAAUCAUCGACCACCUUCAGGGGAGCCUUAAAAUAGCAGGAUUGGGGAAUAAAAAUGAUGAUGCGAGUGAGAUGGAGAAAGCACAGCUGGAGAAUAAGGAGCACCUCUCUGAAUUGGUAGCAAUUUUCAAGAGAGAUGAAUAUGGAGAUCAGAGACAUCUUGAUUCAGAAAUAGUGAAAGCAAUGCAACCUCAUUCAAAUUUGGAAUCUUAUCCUUUGUGAAUUGCCAAAUUGGCACCACUGACUCUCUAUAUUGGAUAAACUCUUUACACAGUUUGAGACUAGUUGAUCUCCAUGGGUGGAGGUUUUCUGAAGUUUUGCCUCCUCUUGGAAAGUUGGUAUCACUUGAAGUUCUAAAGAUAGGGGACAUGUCGAAAGUGAAAAAUGCGGGAGUUGAAUUUCUAGGAAGACAAGAAUGAAUUAUAUUCCCAAGUUGAAGCGACUCUCUUUUAGUGGCAUGUACAAGUGGGAAGAGUGGGAAGGAAUUACAAAGGUGGAUUCUUCUGAGAUCACAAUCAUGCCACGCCUUUCUGAGUUGGAAAUUGAUUGUUGUCCAAAGCUCAAGGCAUUGCCAGACUUCCUCUACAAGAUAACAGCACUGCAUACUUUGACGAUCUUAUUUUCUCCAAUUCUGGAAAGAAAAUACAAAAAUGAAGUUGGGAAGGAGUGGCACAACAUAUCUCACAUCUCAAACCUCAUAAUUAGAUGACUCAAUUGAACAGCCGGAAAUCAAUUUAUCCGACAGAGAAUCACGCUAAGUGAGUUACACUUAAGGAUCCGAUUGAAGCUCCGAGGACUAGAAAUGUCAUUCGAGUUUUCAAGCUGAUGACAUCUCUAAGUAGCGAAUACCUGACUGAUUAAACUAGUGAAGAAGUUCAUCCAAUCUGAUGUUCUAUUGCAACAUCUUGAGGAUAUGGAGGAUGGAAUAUGUAUCAGGCAGACUUUCACCACGUACAGAGGAAAUUUGAUAUUUAUUUGACUAAAUGAAGUGGUCUUAACUCAAUAUGUUAUCAGUAUCUUAAGGUAUUCAUACUUUUGAAUUUCUACUCCAUUUUUUAAGUUAAUAUUGUUUGCACGUAC